rnacentral:ncRNA from 1 species
CUUAUUUUUCGACGGCGGAGCUCGACCGCCGGUCAAUGAGAUCGUGGUUUUCACCGAAGUGCAUCGUGAUGCGCAUGGGGCCGAGCCGAUCUGCACGGUGCUGCCGCUUGCCC